CAGUCGCCGCGGUAAUACGUAGGUGGCGAGCGUUGUCCGGAUUUAUUGGGCGUAAAGGGAGUGUAGGCGGUCUUUUAAGUCUGAUGUGAAAGCCCCCGGCUCAACCGGGGAGGGUCAUUGGAAACUGGGAAACUUGAGUGCAGAAGAGGAGAGUGGAAUUCCACGUGUAGCGGUGAAAUGCGUAGAGAUGUGGAGGGACACCAGUGGCGAAGGCGACUCUCUGGUCUGUAACUGACGCUGAGGAGCGAAAGCGUGGGGAGCGAACAGGAUUAGAUACCCCCGUAGUCCCUGUCUCUUAUAC
rnacentral:rRNA from 1 species